UUGCCCUUCCGGUCACAGCAAAACCUCGUUAGAAACCCACAAAUACGCAAUGCGUGAAUAAAUACAGUUAGAACAAUGCAUCAGGGGCAGGCGCAUGCUCCAAGCCAAAGUGUGAUGGACCCACCAGCUGCCGGUCAAACAAGUCAAUCCAAGCCCAAUCUGCUCGUACACAAAGCAAAUUUAAGAGGAUGCGGCUAGAGCUUCCGGGGCCGGUUCCACUGUCGCUCCGCAGUGGCCCGAACGGUCCCAAGGCUGCUCAGCGAACGCACAGAAUCCAAACGAGCACGAGGCGCCCCGGAGUCGGAGCCCUCGCAUCCUCCAGCCGCUCCGGUCUGUUCUGGGUCUUGCCAGCCACCUCCACCCGGCGCUGCCUCUCCCUAGGUCUUGCCUUGUCCCAGGUCUCACCUCCCGGGUCCCCUGGAUGGAGGGA